GCCCUCGAAGCUCAGCUCGUAUAGCGUGCGUGUGCAAAGCGUAGGUGGCGUCUAUGCGUGGGUUCGAAUCCCACCGAGGCUA
rfam:Echinostoma caproni strain Egypt genome assembly, scaffold: ECPE_scaffold0004335